rnacentral:rRNA from 1 species
UAGGGAAUCUUCGGCAAUGGACGAAAGUCUGACCGAGCAACGCCGCGUGAGUGAAGAAGGUUUUCGGAUCGUAAAACUCUGUUGUUAGAGAAGAACAAGGACGUUAGUAACUGAACGUCCCCUGACGGUAUCUAACCAGAAAGCCACGGCUAACUACGUGCCAGCAGCCGCGGUAAUACGUAGGUGGCAAGCGUUGUCCGGAUUUAUUGGGCGUAAAGCGAGCGCAGGCGGUUUCUUAAGUCUGAUGUGAAAGCCCCCGGCUCAACCGGGGAGGGUCAUUGGAAACUGGGAGACUUGAGUGCAGAAGAGGAGAGUGGAAUUCCAUGUGUAGCGGUGAAAUGCGUAGAUAUAUGGAGGAACACCAGUGGCGAAGGCGGCUCUCUGGUCUGUCACUGACGCUGAGGCUCGAAAGCGUGGGGAGCAAACAGG